GCCUACGGGGCGCAGCAGUAGGGAAUCUUCCACAAUGGGCGAAAGCCUGAUGGAGCAACGCCGCGUGGGUGAAGAAGGUCUUCGGAUCGUAAAACCCUGUUGUUAGAGAAGAAAGUGCGUGAGAGUAACUGUUCACGUUUCGACGGUAUCUAACCAGAAAGCCACGGCUAACUACGUGCCAGCAGCCGCGGUAAUACGUAGGUGGCAAGCGUUAUCCGGAUUUAUUGGGCGUAAAGGGAACGCAGGCGGUCUUUUAAGUCUGAUGGGAAAGCCUUGGGCUUAACCGGAGUAGGUCAUUGGAAACU
rnacentral:rRNA from 1 species